UACAGAGGUCCCAAGCGUUGUUCGGAUUCACUGGGCGUAAAGCGUGCGCAGGCGGUUUCGUAAGUCCGUCGUGAAAUCCCCGGGCUUAACCUGGGAAUGGCGAUGGAGACUGCGAGGCUAGAGUUUGGCAGAGGGGGGUAGAAUUCCACGUGUAGCAGUGAAAUGCGUAGAGAUGUGGAGGAACACCGAUGGCGAAGGCAGCCCCCUGGGUCAAAACUGACGCUCAUGCACGAAAGCGUGGGGAGCAAACAGG
rnacentral:rRNA from 1 species